rnacentral:rRNA from 1 species
UUAAGCGACUAAGCGUACACGGUGGAUGCCCUGGCAGUCAGAGGCGAUGAAGGGCGUGCUAAUCUGCGAUAAGCGCCGGUAAGGUGAUAUGAACCGUUAUAACCGGCGAUACCCGAAUGGGGAAACCCAGUGUGAUUCGUCACACUAUCAUUAACUGAAUCCAUAGGUUAAUGAGGCGAACCGGGGGAACUGAAACAUCUAAGUACCCCGAGGAAAAGAAAUCAACCGAGAUUCCCCCAGUAGCGGCGAGCGAACGGGGAGGAGCCCAGAGCCUGAAUCAGCAUGUGUGUUAGUGGAAGCGUCUGGAAAGGCGCGCGAUACAGGGUGACAGCCCCGUACACAAAAGCGCAUGUGCUGUGAGCUCGAUGAGUAGGGCGGGACACGUGGUAUCCUGUCUGAAUAUGGGGGGACCAUCCUCCAAGGCUAAAUACUCCUGACUGACCGAUAGUGAACCAGUACCGUGAGGGAAAGGCGAAAAGAACCCCGGCGAGGGGAGUGAAAAAGAACCUGAAACCGUGUACGUACAAGCAGUGGGAGCCCCACCACCAAAGCAUUCUCUGGUGUUGAAGGCCCUGCAAAGCAGCAUCGCGGUGGCGGAGCGUCGUUUGCGACGCCCAACACACAAAACAAGCGGUGAGUGCUUUGGGGUGGGGUGACUGCGUACCUUUUGUAUAAUGGGUCAGCGACUUAUAUUCUGUAGCAAGGUUAACCGUAUAGGGGAGCCGGAGGGAAACCGAGUCUUAACCGGGCGUUAAGUUGCAGGGUAUAGACCCGAAACCCGGUGAUCUAGCCAUGGGCAGGUUGAAGGUUGGGUAACACUAACUGGAGGACCGAACCGACUAAUGUUGAAAAAUUAGCGGAUGACCUGUGGCUGGGGGUGAAAGGCCAAUCAAACCGGGAGAUAGCUGGUUCUCCCCGAAAGCUAUUUAGGUAGCGCCUCGUGAAUUCAUCUCCGGGGGUAGAGCACUGUUUCGGCUAGGGGGCCAUCCCGGCUUACCAACCCGAUGCAAACUGCGAAUACCGGAGAAUGUUAUCACGGGAGACACACGGCGGGUGCUAACGUCCGUCGUGAAGAGGGAAACAACCCAGACCGCCAGCUAAGGUCCCAAAGUCAUGGUUAAGUGGGAAACGAUGUGGGAAGGCCCAGACAGCCAGGAUGUUGGCUUAGAAGCAGCCAUCAUUUAAAGAAAGCGUAAUAGCUCACUGGUCGAGUCGGCCUGCGCGGAAGAUGUAACGGGGCUAAACCAUGCACCGAAGCUGCGGCAGCGACGCUGAUGCGUUGUUGGGUAGGGGAGCGUUCUGUAAGCCUGCGAAGGUGGCCUGUGAGGGUUGCUGGAGGUAUCAGAAGUGCGAAUGCUGACAUAAGUAACGAUAAAGCGGGUGAAAAGCCCGCUCGCCGGAAGACCAAGGGUUCCUGUCCAACGUUAAUCGGGGCAGGGUGAGUCGACCCCUAAGGCGAGGCCGAAAGGCGUAGUCGAUGGGAAACGGGUUAAUAUUCCCGUACUUGGUGUUACUGCGAAGGGGGGACGGAGAAGGCUAUGUUGGCCGGGCGACGGUUGUCCCGGUUUAAGCGUGUAGGUGUGUGUUCCAGGUAAAUCCGGUUCACUUUAACACUGAGGCGUGAUGACGAGGCACUACGGUGCUGAAGCAACAAAUGCCCUGCUUCCAGGAAAAGCCUCUAAGCAUCAGGUAACAUCAAAUCGUACCCCAAACCGACACAGGUGGUCAGGUAGAGAAUACCAAGGCGCUUGAGAGAACUCGGGUGAAGGAACUAGGCAAAAUGGUGCCGUAACUUCGGGAGAAGGCACGCUGACAUGUAGGUGAAGUGAUUUACUCAUGGAGCUGAAGUCAGUCGAAGAUACCAGCUGGCUGCAACUGUUUAUUAAAAACACAGCACUGUGCAAACACGAAAGUGGACGUAUACGGUGUGACGCCUGCCCGGUGCCGGAAGGUUAAUUGAUGGGGUCAGCGCAAGCGAAGCUCCUGAUCGAAGCCCCGGUAAACGGCGGCCGUAACUAUAACGGUCCUAAGGUAGCGAAAUUCCUUGUCGGGUAAGUUCCGACCUGCACGAAUGGCGUAAUGAUGGCCAGGCUGUCUCCACCCGAGACUCAGUGAAAUUGAACUCGCUGUGAAGAUGCAGUGUACCCGCGGCAAGACGGAAAGACCCCGUGAACCUUUACUAUAGCUUGACACUGAACAUUGAGCCUUGAUGUGUAGGAUAGGUGGGAGGCUUUGAAGUGUGGACGCCAGUCUGCAUGGAGCCGACCUUGAAAUACCACCCUUUAAUGUUUGAUGUUCUAACGUGGACCCGUAAUCCGGGUUGCGGACAGUGUCUGGUGGGUAGUUUGACUGGGGCGGUCUCCUCCUAAAGAGUAACGGAGGAGCACGAAGGUUGGCUAAUCCUGGUCGGACAUCAGGAGGUUAGUGCAAUGGCAUAAGCCAGCUUGACUGCGAGCGUGACGGCGCGAGCAGGUGCGAAAGCAGGUCAUAGUGAUCCGGUGGUUCUGAAUGGAAGGGCCAUCGCUCAACGGAUAAAAGGUACUCCGGGGAUAACAGGCUGAUACCGCCCAAGAGUUCAUAUCGACGGCGGUGUUUGGCACCUCGAUGUCGGCUCAUCACAUCCUGGGGCUGAAGUAGGUCCCAAGGGUAUGGCUGUUCGCCAUUUAAAGUGGUACGCGAGCUGGGUUUAGAACGUCGUGAGACAGUUCGGUCCCUAUCUGCCGUGGGCGCUGGAGAACUGAGGGGGGCUGCUCCUAGUACGAGAGGACCGGAGUGGACGCAUCACUGGUGUUCGGGUUGUCAUGCCAAUGGCACUGCCCGGUAGCUAAAUGCGGAAGAGAUAAGUGCUGAAAGCAUCUAAGCACGAAACUUGCCCCGAGAUGAGUUCUCCCUGAGACUUAGAGUCUCCUGAAGGAACGUUGAAGACGACGACGUUGAUAGGCCGGGUGUGUAAGCGCAGCGAUGCGUUGAGCUAACCGGUACUAAUGAACCGUGAGGCUUAACCUU